AACGAACGCUGGCGGCAUGCCUAACACAUGCAAGUCGAACGGGAUCCUAGCUUGCUAGGUGAGAGUGGCGGACGGGUGAGUAACACGUGGGAAUCUGCCUUUUGGUUCGGGAUAACCGCGGGAAACUGCGGCUAAUACCGAAUGCCCUCGUGAGAGGAAAGAUUUAUCGCCAGAAGAGGAGCCCGCGUCCGAUUAGGUAGUUGGUGGGGUAAAGGCCUACCAAGCCGACGAUCGGUAGCUGGUCUGAGAGGAUGAUCAGCCACACUGGGACUGAGAUACGGCCCAGACUCCUACGGGAGGCAGCAGUGGGGAAUAUUGCGCAAUGGGCGAAAGCCUGACGCAGCGACGCCGCGUGGGUGAUGAAGGCCUGUCGU
rnacentral:rRNA from 1 species